CGAUCCCUUGCUUCGCGCGCGAGUUUCCCGAUAGGGUUUUUUUUUGCGGAGUUUGUGUCUUUUUAGCUUUGGGUUCGAUGUUUUUGUUCGAUUAAUCGUUUUAUAGGGAAUAAAAAAAAGCCUCAUAACUAUAGGAACGGAAAAAAAAAUUGCUAACCGAAAUGAAUCCGCCCCAAAAAUUAAAAACCUUCGCGCGAGUUUGACUCGAAAGUAUGGGGUGUGACAACUUUCUUUAUUGACACGACAGCAAUGUUGGGUCAUAUUCUUUAAUGUGGAGGGCACCCUUAUGAUGCAGUGUUAUUGGCUGAGAAAUCAGCUCUUUUUUUGCAACACAAAUUCCUCUAUUAUAAAAUAGCAACCAUGGACGGAUAUCAACCUGAUGUGGAGCUCUCAGAUGAUCCUUAUGAUACCAAGAUACUAAACACAGAGAACAUUCCUUGUGUACUGACUUUGAUGAAGAUUGGAAACCCUUUCCUAGUAGUUCCAACACCAAAAGAAAAAUGCUGCAGCUUUUCUGGUAUUAAAAUGAUUACUGCUGUUAGGAAAAUUGACAGUUGUAAGACAUCAGCUAUGAUAUUCUUAAAGAUGGAACUUUUAGAGAAAUAAAAUUUAAGCGAUGAUAUAAA
rnacentral:lncRNA from 1 species